AUUGAACGCUGGCGGCAUGCCUUACACAUGCAAGUCGAACGGUAACAGGUCUUCGGAUGCUGACGAGUGGCGAACGGGUGAGUAAUACAUCGGAACGUGCCUAGUAGUGGGGGAUAACUACUCGAAAGAGUGGCUAAUACCGCAUGAGAUCUACGGAUGAAAGCAGGGGAUCGCAAGACCUUGUGCUACUAGAGCGGCCGAUGGCAGAUUAGGUAGUUGGUGGGAUAAAAGCUUACCAAGCCGACGAUCUGUAGCUGGUCUGAGAGGACGAUCAGCCACACUGGGACUGAGACACGGCCCAGACUCCUACGGGAGGCAGCAAUGGGGAAUUUUGGACAAUGGGCGCAAGCCUGAUCCAGCAAUGCCGCGUGCAGGAUGAAGGCCUUCGGGUCGUAAACUGCUUUUGUACGGAACGAAAAGCCCUGGGUUAAUACCCUGGGGUCAUGACGGUACCGUAAGAAUAAGCACCGGCUAACUACGUGCCAGCCGCCGCGGUAA
rnacentral:rRNA from 1 species